rnacentral:tRNA from 1 species
GUGGGUGUAGCUCAACCUGGUCAGAGCACAUGCCUGUGGAGCAUGAGGCUGGGGGUUCAACUCCCCUCACCCACCCC